GAUGAACGCUAGCUACAGGCUUAACACAUGCAAGUCGAGGGGAAACGAUAGAGAAAGCUUGCUUUUCUAGGCGUCGACCGGCGCACGGGUGAGUAACGCGUAUCCAACCUGCCCAUCACUUGGGGAUAACCUUGCGAAAGUAAGACUAAUACCCAAUGACGUCUCUAGAAGACAUCUGAAAGAGAUUAAAGAUUUAUUGGUAAACGAUGGGGAUGCGUUCCAUUAGGUAGUAGGCGGGGUAACGGCCCACCUAGCCGACGAUGGAUAGGGGUUCUGAGAGGAAGGUCCCCCACAUUGGAACUGAGACACGGUCCAAACUCCUACGGGAGGCAGCAGUGAGGAAUAUUGGUCAAUGGGCGAGAGCCUGAACCAGCCAAGUAGCGUGAAGGAUGAAGGUCCUACGGAUUGUAAACUUCUUUUAUACGGGAAUAAAGUAUCCUACGUGUAGGAUUUUGUAUGUACCGUAUGAAUAAGCAUCGGCUAACUCCGUG
rnacentral:rRNA from 1 species